ACUUGAAGAGCUCAAGUUUAGGGAAGUGAAGGCCAGAGGAAGAACACUCCUGGCAGGAUGCUUUGUGAGCAGAGACACAGCAGAGAAAAUAGUGUUGGUGAGAAGAGCAGUUCAUGGAUCAUGGAGAGCUAAGAUGGAACAGAAAGGUAGUUUGAGGUUGGAGCUGAACAAUUCCAUUGUCCCUCUGGGAGCCCGAGAAGAGCUGAAUUAUUUGAGAGCGGAGGGAAAAGACUCCAAGGAGACUGCAGAGUUGGGAGGCACUAGUUGGCAAGGAACUUCCUUGUCAUGGACAUUGGUGGCUGCCCAGUUUUCUUCUGGAGUUCUCACAUUAAGACUCUAAAUCCAUCAGAACAGAACAACAGCAGUGAUUACUGUUAUUGGCGUGAAAUUGAUUACCAAAUGAUUUGUUGUCAAACCUGCAUCAGAACCACUUGGAGUCCUUGACAAAAUGUGGCAUCUGGGCACCCCCUUAACCUACCAAAUCAGUCUGUGGGGAUGAUGUCCCAGAAGCAGCAUUUUUCAAAAGCUUUAGGUGAGAUUACUGACUAUGGGGUGUUCUCUCUCUCAGGGCUGCAAGGCCUUUCCCCUUUAAGACAAUUGGAAUUGUCUAUUGGCAACCUGCUGGAGCAGGCAUGGAACUCUUUAUUGGCGCAGAGAAUUAUGCUAUCUGUAAGGGUAACUCAUUAAGUACAAUGACUUUAUCUGAUUAACAAGUUAAUAUAAGUUCUGUGAGGGCAGGAACUGUAUGUGUGAUCAUACUACAGUGUGUCAUUCGUAGUUGGUGCAUCUGAGGGCUUAAUAAAUAUUGGU